rnacentral:rRNA from 1 species
UGGCGGCAGGCUUAACACAUGCAAGUCGAGCGGUAGCAGAUCUAGCUUGCUAGAUGCUGACGAGCGGCGACGGGUGAGUAACGCGUAGGAACCUGCCCAGUAGUGGGGGAUAGCCCGGGGAAACUCGGAUUAAUACCGCAUACGCUCUACGGAGGAAAGAGGGGGCUUCGGCUCUCGCUAUUGGAUGGGCCUGCGUGAGAUUAGCUAGUUGGUGAGGUAAUGGCUCACCAAGGCGACGAUCUCUAGCUGGUCUGAGAGGAUGAUCAGCCACACUGGGACUGAGACACGGCCCAGACUCCUACGGGAGGCAGCAGUGGGGAAUAUUGCACAAUGGGCGCAAGCCUGAUGCAGCCAUGCCGCGUGUGAAGAAGGCUUUCGGGUUGUAAAGCACUUUCAGUGGGGAGGAAGGCCUCGUAGUUAAUAGCUGCGAGGAUUGACGUUACCCACAGAAGAAGCACCGGCUAACUCCGUG